rnacentral:rRNA from 1 species
GAUGAACGCUGGCGGCGUGCCUAAUACAUGCAAGUCGAGCGAAUGGAUUAAGAGCUUGCUCUUAUGAAGUUAGCGGCGGACGGGUGAGUAACACGUGGGUAACCUGCCCAUAAGACUGGGAUAACUCCGGGAAACCGGGGCUAAUACCGGAUAACAUUUUGAACCGCAUGGUUCGAAAUUGAAAGGCGGCUUCGGCUGUCACUUAUGGAUGGACCCGCGUCGCAUUAGCUAGUUGGUGGGGUAACGGCUCACCAAGGCAACGAUGCGUAGCCGACCGGAGAGGGUGAUCGGCCACACUGGGACUGGGAAACGGCCCAGACUCCGACGGGAGGCAGCAGUAGGGAAUCUUCCGCAAUGGACGAAAGUCUGACGGAGCAACGCCGCGUGAGUGAUGAAGGCUUUCGGGUCGUAAAACUCUGUUGUUAGGGAAGAACAAGUGCUAGUUGAAUAAGCUGGCACCUUGACGGUACCUAACCAGAAAGCCACGGCUAACUACGUGCCAGCCGCCGCGGUAA